rfam:TPA: Bos taurus chromosome 7, whole genome shotgun sequence.
UUCCUGGUGGUUCAGUGGCUAGGACUCUGCCCUUCCAGUGCAGAGGGCCCAGGUUCUAUCCCUGGUCAGGGAA